rnacentral:rRNA from 1 species
CUCCCGCCGGCGACCGGCGCACGGGUGAGUAACACGUAUGAAACCUGCCCGUAGCAGGGGGAUAAGCGGAAGAAAUUCCGUCUAAUACCGCGUAACAACCCGAGGAGGCAUCUCCUCGGGUUUAAAGGAAGCGAUUCCGGCUACGGAUGGUCAUGCGUCGCAUUAGCUAGUUGGCGGGGUAACGGCCCACCAAGGCGACGAUGCGUAGGGGUUCUGAGAGGAGGGUCCCCCCACACUGGUACUGAGACACGGACCAGACUCCUACGGGAGGCAGCAG